UGACUCUUCAGCCGAACAUGUAAAGCUGUUGUUCCUGGGCAGAUGGAUCAAAUUUACUCUCAAAAUUCGGCAAAGUCGAUUGGAUAGCACGUUUCGUAUUGCGACGUCAGAGAUGAAAUUCUUGGAUCGUCGCGAGACGAACGAAAGCGGUUUUCGAAACGGUUUUCAUUAAUCAAGAACGAAAGUUUGAGGUCUUGCAGGCAAUCGGAUACGUUCUGGCUGUACAGACGAGGAUGUUCAAUUUGAUGAAUCUAUGGAUCAUCAAUUCCAAAGAGACGUCUAGGUUUGCUAAAGGAUUCCAGAAGGAAGUAUUUCUAUAAAGGCUGUCGUAUUUCUAUGAAAAGUUACAGAUUGAUCAUCCUGAUAGUGAAUAAUGUCUAACCUCAUUACGAUGCAAUUUUAGAAUCGAUGAUUUCAAGUUACCAUCGUGGUAGUGAGAUCAAAUAUCAGCGCAACGACCUGUGGUGCAAGGUUAUUCGAGGCCAUUCAAGGUAUCCGUCAUGCUCUAAAAGUUGCCGCUGCGUCUGACCACAAGUGGAAUCGUUCUACUGUCGCGACCUGAAUUUAUAACCCGCGAGAGGAUUAAGAAAUAGCCGAAAGGUCUCGUGAUUUGCUGGAAUUGCGGAAGGUAAUGGAGGGUCCCGAUUCACUGUUUACGAUCUCGAAACGAACACGCGC